AGGAGCCGUAUGCGAAGAUCCGCACGUACGGUUCUGUGAGAGGGGUGGUCAGAAAUGGCGACCCCUACUCGAU
rnacentral:ncRNA from 1 species